CCUGGAGGAGGUGAAAGAAAGUGAAGUGGUGGAGAUGAUGCAGAGGUCCAGCGUGAACACUCCCUGGUCAGUGAUGUGGGGAAGAAACGCCCCAAAGCAGAUGCUGUUGCUGCCUUUUUCUCACACAGACAUAUCAGUGAAAAAGUUGUCACGACUUAAAAGAAGGUAGUCCAAGGAAGAGAUUCAGCACCUGCCGGCCACAUGAUCAGCAACUGUCCCAUGGGAAGAGCACUCUGCAGUGGAUCGGCUCAGUCUGUUGCCAUUCUAAAAGCAAUUGUCUCUACUCAAAUGUGAUGGGCUUAGCACCAACAUCUGUGUCCUUCAUUAUGGACAUAAUGAAAGGAAGUGCAAUGUGCUGCAAGUGCAAUGAGACAGUUGUACCCUGUGGAUGUAAAAUGAAUGUUAGCAGACGUGGUGCAUGACUCAGGUCGUCUGCAUUGCAGCCAAGUUCAGAUACAGUAGCCUGGUGUGACUGGUAUUUACUCUGAACAAUUACCCAGUCUGUGCAAGAUCUGGUGGCCGACUGCUGAAGGAACUGAAUUGAAACUUGCCACCUCAGUCAUAGUGUGAUGUCCUACGCUGUGUGACAUCUUGGAAGAACUGGCAAACAGCGCAAAAACAAUGUCCACAUUGGGUCUGUUGAAUACUGAAUCACUCACAGAACAACUUGUUUUAAGUGUUUGUCCUUUUAAGUUUUCACAAUGCAUUUUUGCAGGCUCAUCCUUGAGGUGUAAUUUAAAAUUGUGUCUUUUGAGGUCAUCCAAUACUGUAUGUCUGCUUUAGGGAUUCACACACUCUCAGGAGCACAGUUAGGAACUCUGGGUGCACUGGCAAGACACUGACACUGGACACAGGAUGUGAAACUUUAGGAUAUAGGAGAGAAAUAAUGUUUUCAAACUCUCCUAUGUAUCAGAAACAUUGUACCACAUGUGCUUCACUCUUUACUGUUAUGUAGAAAUUCUAAAAGUAUCUAGAGAGAGUUGUACGUCCUGUGAUGAUCCAUAUCACAUAAUUUUCAUUUUUCCACUCAAAAGUUAAUAGCAAUAGUUAUGUUCGCAGCUGUUGCCAGUAUGAGUCGUGUCAACGGCUGAAAUCUCAUGGAAGAGAGCCUCAGAAGAAGUGCUUCAGACAUUUGACUUUUUCAUCCUCCGUUUGUUGCAUUCGUGUUUGUUCUUUUAAUGUUAUAAAUGUGUGUUAGACGCAUAGAAAAGACUCGAUGCAUGAUAUUGGUUGUGGGUUUUUUUUAAAAAAGAUUAGCUUUUGUUGUCAGAGUACUGUUUUAUUGCACUUUCUUCUGUUUUACUUUGUUAUGAAUUUAGAAUUCAGUUAAUAAAAUGUAUAUUCUUGGCAGCAAUAAUAAACUGGAUUCAAGCAAUGAGGCAGUUCAGUAGCUGAAUGAGAUCAUGCACAUAAUUAGACAAUUACAGUCCAUCUGUUUGGUUUGUGUGGAUGGAUGGAAGUGAAGCGCCUCCUGUCAGUGACGCUUUCUAAAGAGAUAGUUCACUUAAGCUACUAUCUAUUUGUAAGCCUUGAAAGUACUGUACAUACUGUAGGUCUGCGAAGAGUACCUAUAGCCCAGCUAAUUAACUAAACGUUGAUUUUGGAUGCAGAGGAGCCAGUAUUUUCUCACAGCAUACAGCACCCGUCUACCAGAAUAACCAAACUGUGCAAAAUAAUCAUUACAGUGUGGUUGUUGCACGCACAUUUCAUACUCUGAACAAGCUUUAGUACAUCAUUUCAUUGCCUGGCUGUCAGUGUUUUGAACAUAACAUUCUCCAAGACAACCUUUCACCAAUGGCUCACUAGAUAUUAACUGUCCAUAACUCAAGAACAGGGAAGUUAAAAACGAAUUGUGUCAAAAACGUUGCAGGAAACUGAAGAGACUUCUUAUGCCAUGCAAGACUGUUUUUCAGAGCACCAGAGUUCAACGAGUAUUGAAUAAUGAUGGCUGAUGACCAAAUUCUUUCUUCCUUAUGGAUUAAAGCUGCCUGUAAGCAAUAUAUUGUGGUGACAUUUUACAAUGUUUGGAUUGGAUUGUUAAUGCAGUUAUAUGAAUGGGUGUGUCUAUUUUUGGCAGGAUAAAUGUUCAUGGGAUCACUCGACACUAAAGCUCAGGAUGCUAAUAUUCAUUAAGUAUUAUAAAACAUGUAUGUAUGGAGUUUGAUUAAAAAAGAUCAUAGGAUCAGUAACAAAAAAGGGCUUGUUGUGGAUGAACAGUGAAUUGUGUGUAAUCAAACUGCAUCAUGCUGGAGGUGGAAAGCAUUAAAGGGAUAGUUCUGGGUUAUUUUUUUUUUAGUUUUUUUGUAGUGGGGUUGUAUGGUACCUAUCCAGAGUCCACGUAUUACAAACAGUAGAUGUCAGCUGACAUGUCACCAGUUUGGAGAAGUGGCAGGAGUAACUUCCAUGUUGCUUCUCCAUACUAUAGGUUUGCCACCUUACAUCUGCUGUACGCAACACACUGAUAACAGAUAAAUACCUCUGACAACUCCACUUCAAAAGAUACUGACUGUCCCCUUUAACACAUUGAUGUCAGUACAGUAAGUUGGGUAAUUCAAAUUAAUGUAUCCAUAUUCUAAAAAUCAUUUGCAAAUGAAACUGUUAGACAGGGGGGGUCCUAAUUUUGUAUGAAAACUGUUAAUAAAUCACUGGUGUUAGCUGCAGGUAUAAGACUGUGCCAUUUUUCCAGGCAUGAUACCACACUGUGCUGGUCAGGUUCUGAUCAACUCUGCUCACAGCAUCUUAGUUAAGAAACCCGUGAGACUUCUCAAAGACUGUGAGAGAUCAUCUGCAUACAGCCUUUACCCAGUGCUCGUGUCAUCCCUCCACAUCUGCUUCUUUGCAGACAUGCACAUGCUAUAAUAAGCUAUGGAUCGUAACAGAGUUUUAUUUUCCAAUGUGUAUUUAAUAAACUUUGAGCGAAUGA